rnacentral:rRNA from 1 species
UACGAAGGGGGCUAGCGUUGCUCGGAAUGACUGGGCGUAAAGGGCGCGUAGCCGGCUCAUACAGUCAGAUGUGAAAUUCCUGGGCUUAACCUGGGGGCUGCAUUUGAUACGUGUGGGCUUGAGUGGGGAAGAGGGUCGUGGAAUUCCCAGUGUAGAGGUGAAAUUCGUAGAUAUUGGGAAGAACACCGGUGGCGAAGGCGGCGACCUGGUCCUUGACUGACGCUGAGGCGCGAAAGCGUGGGGAGCAAACAGG